rnacentral:rRNA from 1 species
AUUGAACGCUGGCGGCAGGCCUAACACAUGCAAGUAGAGCGGAGCGGCGGACGGGCGAGUAAGGCCUAGGAAUGUGCCUGGUAGUGGGGGAUAAGGUCCGGAAAGGGGCGCUAAUAUCGCAUACUAUCAGAUGAGCCUAGGGCGGAUUAGCUAGUUGGUGGGGUAAAGGCUUACCUAGGCGACGAUCCGUAACUGGUCUGAGAGGAUGAUCAGCCAGACUGGAACGGAGACACGGUCCAGACUCCUACGGGAGGCAGCAGUGGGGAAUUUUGGACAAUGGGCGAAAGCCUGAUCCAGCCAUGCCGCGUGUAUGAAGAAGGUCUUCGGGUUGUAAAGCACUUUUAGUUGGGAGGCGUUACCAACAGAAUAAGCACCGGCUAACUUCGUGCCAGCAGCCGCGGUAAUAC